GACAGAGGAUGCAAGCGUUAUCCGGAAUGAUUGGGCGUAAAGCGUCUGUAGGUGGCUUUUAAGUCCGCCGUCAAAUCCCAGGGCUUAACCCUGGACAGGCGGUGGAAACUACCAAGCUGGAGUACGGUAGGGGCAGAGGGAAUUUCCGGUGGAGCGGUGAAAGUGCGUAGAGAUCGGAAAGAACACCAACGGCGAAGGCACUCUGCUGGGCCGACACUGACACUGAGAGACGAAAGCUAGGGGAGCAAAUGGG
rnacentral:rRNA from 1 species